UACGGGAGGCAGCAGUGGGGAAUAUUGGACAAUGGGCGAAAGCCUGAUCCAGCCAUGCCGCGUGUGUGAAGAAGGCCUUCGGGUUGUAAAGCACUUUCAGUGGGGAAGAAAGCCUUGGGGCUAAUACCCUCGAGGAAGGACAUCACCCACAGAAGAAGCACCGGCUAACUCCGUGCCAGCAGCCGCGGUAAUACGGAGGGUGCGAGCGUUAAUCGGAAUUACUGGGCGUAAAGCGCGCGUAGGCGGUCUGAUAAGCCGGUUGUGAAAGCCCCGGGCUCAACCUGGGAACGGCAUCCGGAACUGUCAGGCUAGAGUGCAGGAGAGGAAGGUAGAAUUCCCGGUGUAGCGGUGAAAUGCGUAGAGAUCGGGAGGAAUACCAGUGGCGAAGGCGGUCUUCUGGACUGACACUGACGCUGAGGUGCGAAAGCGUGGGUAGCAAACAGGAUUAGCUACCCGGGUAGUC
rnacentral:rRNA from 1 species